rnacentral:rRNA from 1 species
UACAGAGGGGGCAAGCGUUAUUCGGAAUUAUUGGGCGUAAAGGGCGCGUAGGCGGCUUUGCAAGUGGCGGGUGAAAUCCCUCGGCUUAACCGAGGAACUGCCUGUCAAACUGCAUGGCUUGAGACCAGGAGAGGUGAGUGGAAUUCCCAGUGUAGCGGUGAAAUGCGUAGAUAUUGGGAGGAACACCAGUGGCGAAGGCGGCUCACUGGACUGGUACUGACGCUGAUGCGCGAAAGCGUGGGGAGCGAACAGG